rnacentral:rRNA from 1 species
UGGGGAAUAUUGCACAAUGGGCGAAAGCCUGAUGCAGCGACGCCGCGUGAGUGAAGAAGUAUUUCGGUAUGUAAAGCUCUAUCAGCAGGGAAGAAAAUGACGGUACCUGACUAAGAAGCCCCGGCUAACUACGUGCCAGCAGCCGCGGUAAUACGUAGGGGGCAAGCGUUAUCCGGAUUUACUGGGUGUAAAGGGAGCGUAGACGGCGAAGCAAGUCUGAAGUGAAAACCCAGGGCUCAACCCUGGGACUGCUUUGGAAACUGUUUUGCUAGAGUGUCGGAGAGGUAAGUGGAAUUCCUAGUGUAGCGGUGAAAUGCGUAGAUAUUAGGAGGAACACCAGUGGCGAAGGCGGCUUACUGGACGAUAACUGACGUUGAGGCUCGAAAGCGUGGGGAGCAAACA